rnacentral:rRNA from 1 species
AUUAUGAGCUUAUCCUGCUCAAUGAAUAUUUUAAUAGCCGCAGUACUUUGACUGUGCUAAGGUAGCAUAAUCAUUUGGCCUUUAAUUGGGGUCUGGCAUGAAAGGAAUGACUUAGGAAUCACUGUCUCAAUUAUAUUAAUAUAAAUUUUUUUAUGAGGUGAAAAUACCUCUAAAGAAAGACGAGAAGACCCUUAGACUUUUUAUUAAGAUAUUGUUCAAUAUAAAUUUAUGUUGGGGCGACACCGAUUCAAUCGGAAUAAUAUAAAUCUAAAAUAUUAUUUAAGGUACCUGAGGGAUAACAGCAUAAUUAUUUAAUACAUUGUGACCUCGAUGUUGGACUAGGAAGUAAUUUUUAAGAUAAAAAUUAUAUUUAGUUCUGUUCGAACUGUAGUAUCCU